UGAUCCCUGCAUAUCACCAUCGGUUCAAAAGAAGAACCAACACUUUUUUAUUGGGAGUUCGGCGCCAGCCGUGACGGACAGGCCCCAUUUCUGCAUUUAUGCACAGGGGAAGCCCAACACGGGUGGGAGGACACCCACCGUACAUAGUACGGUUCUCUCUUCUUGCCGUUGGGAUGAUGCAGGGUUUCU
rnacentral:other from 1 species